UAAUAGCUCAGGCCGUAGGGCAUGAGACUCAUGAUCUCAAGGUUGUGGGUUCGAGCCUCACGUUGGGCAAAA